GAUGAACGCUGGCGGCGUGCCUAAUACAUGCAAGUCGAGCGAACGGACGAGAAGCUUGCUUGUCUGAUGUUAGCGGCGGACGGGAGAGAAACACGUGGAUAACCUCCCUAUAAGACUGGGAUAACUUCGGGAAGCCGGAGCUAAUACCGGAUAAUAUUUUGAACCGAAUGGUUCAAAAGUGAAAGGCGGUCUUGCUGUCACUUAUAGAUGCAUCCGCGCUGCAUUAGCUAGUUGGUAAGGUAACGGCUUACCAAGGCAACGAUGCAUAGCCGACCUGAGAGGGUGAUCGGCCACACUGGAACUGAGACACGGUCCAGACUCCUACGGGAGGCAGCAGUAGGGAAUCUUCCGCAAUGGGCGAAAGCCUGACGGAGCAACGCCGCGUGAGUGAUGAAGGUCUUCGGAUCGUAAAACUCUGUUAUUAGGGAAGAACAUAUGUGUAAGUAACUGUGCACAUCUUGACGGUACCUAAUCAGAAAGCCACGGCUAACUACGUG
rnacentral:rRNA from 1 species